rnacentral:rRNA from 1 species
GUAAGGAAUAUUGGUCAAUGGAGGCAACUCUGAACCAGCCAUGCCGCGUGCAGGAAGACAGCCCUCUGGGUCGUAAACUGCUUUUAUUCGGGAAUAAACCUACUUACGUGUAAGUAGCUGAAUGUACCGAAGGAAUAAGGAUCGGCUAACUCCGUGCCAGCAGCCGCGGUAAUACGGAGGAUCCAAGCGUUAUCCGGAUUUAUUGGGUUUAAAGGGUGCGUAGGCGGCUUUUUAAGUCAGGGGUGAAAGACGGUAGCUCAACUAUCGCAGUGCCCUUGAUACUGAAGAGCUUGAAUGGACUAGAGGUAGGCGGAAUGUGACAAGUAGCGGUGAAAUGCAUAGAUAUGUCACAGAACACCGAUUGCGAAGGCAGCUUACUAUGGUUUUAUUGACGCUGAGGCACGAAAGCGUGGGGAUCAAACAGGAUUAGAAACCCGUGUAGUCC